CCUACGUGAGGCAGCAGUGAGGAAUAUUGGUCAAUGGGCGUAAGCCUGAACCAGCCAAGUCGCGUGAGGGAUGAAGGUUCUAUGGAUCGUAAACCUCUUUUAUAAGGGAAUAAAGUGUGGGACGUGUCCGAUUUUGUAUGUACCUUAUGAAUAAGGAUCGGCUAACUCAGUGCCAGCAGCCGCGGUAAUACGGAGGAUCCGAGCGUUAUCCGGAUUUAUUGGGUUUAAAGGGUGCGUAGGCGGCCUUUGAAGGCAGCGGGGAAAUUCUGUGGCUCAACCAUGGAAUUGCCGUUGAAACUGGGGUGCUUGAGUAUGUUUGAGCCCGGCGGAAUGCUUGGUGUAGCGGUUAAAUGCUUA
rnacentral:rRNA from 1 species